rnacentral:lncRNA from 1 species
AUGGCAACGGCGGCGACAAAAUGGCGGCGGGGCCGGAAGUGGAGGGGCAGGAGGGCGGAAGUGCGUAGCGCGGAACCGGAAGUGCCCCUAAAGGAGAACCAAAAGAGCGUCUGGAGGAGAACCGGAAGCGUGUCCAGUGAAGGACCGGAAGUGUGCCUGAAAAAGAACGGAAGCGUGCUGCACGUGACCGGAAGUGUGUCGCACAGCGCCGGAAAGUGGCAAAAAAUGGCGGCGCGCAGCGGAGGCACUGGAGCCACGCGGCUCCGGAGCUCCCGGGAACGGCGGAGGGGGCGGGGCCAGGGGGCGGAGCCAGCACGAAGGGGGGCGGGGCGGAGCGGAGAGGGGGAGGGGCGCGUUUACAUCCCCGGUCGCGGCCCCCCGCCCGGUCCCGACGAGGAAAUGGUGGUGGAUACCUCCGCCUAUAGGCUGCUGCACCAUGCGGGCACCGGUACGGCCGUGGGGCGGCUCUGUGGGGCGGUUAUGGGGCUUUAUGGAGUGGUUAUGGGGUACUGUGGGGCUCUAUGGGGCGGUUAUGGGGCUCAGUGGGGCAGGUAUGGGGCAGUGUGGGGCAGCUAUGGGGUUCAAUGGGGCACAAUGGGCUCAGUGGGGCAGCUGUGGGGCUCAGUGGGGCAGCUAUGGGGCUCAAUGAGGCUCAGUGGGGCAGUUAUGGGGCUUAGGGGGGCUGUUACCGCAUCCAGUGGGGCGCUGUGGGUCACUUGUGGGGCUGUGUUUGUCACUUCCGGGGUGCUGUGGGUCACUUCCGGGGCUGUGGUCACUUCUGGGGUUGUGUUUGUCACCUGUGGGGCGCUGUGGGUCACUUGUGGGGCGCU